rnacentral:rRNA from 1 species
UACGUAGGUGGCAAGCGUUGUCCGGAUUUACUGGGCGUAAAGGGCGUGCAGGCGGUCUGUUAAGUGCAGGGUGAAAGCUCCCGGCUCAACUGGGAGAGGUCCUUGCAUACUGGCGGACUUGAGGGGGGUAGAGGAAAGUGGAAUUCCCGGUGUAGUGGUGGAAUGCGUAGAUAUCGGGAGGAACACCAGUGGCGAAGGCGGUUGCCUGGAGCUUUGCUGACGCUGAUGCGCGAAAGCGUGGGGAGCGAUCCGG